AGCGAACGCUGGCGGCAGGCUUAACACAUGCAAGUCGAACGCCCCGCAAGGGGAGUGGCAGACGGGUGAGUAACACGUGGGAACGUACCCUUUGGUUCGGAAUAACUUGGGGAAACUCAAGCUAAUACCGGAUAAGCCCUUAUGGGGAAAGGUUUACUGCCGAAGGAUCGGCCCGCGUCUGAUUAGCUAGUUGGUGAGGUAAUGGCUCACCAAGGCGACGAUCAGUAGCUGGUCUGAGAGGAUGAUCAGCCACACUGGGACUGAGACACGGCCCAGACUCCUACGGGAGGCAGCAGUGGGAAAUAUUGGACAAUGGGGGCAACCCUGAUCCAGCCAUGCCGCGUGAGUGAUGAAGGCCUUAGGGUUGUAAAGCUCUUUUACCCGGGACGAUAACGACUGUACCGGGAGAAUAAGCCCCGGCUAACUUCGUGCCAGCCGCCGCAGUAA
rnacentral:rRNA from 1 species